rnacentral:rRNA from 1 species
GUCUAUGUCCAUGCCACCCUGAAUGUGCCUGAUCUUAUCUGAUCUCGGAAGCUAAGCAGGGCUGGGCCUAGUUAGUACUUGGAUGGGAGACUACCUAGGAAUAUCAGGUGCUGUAGGUG